rnacentral:rRNA from 1 species
GGAUUAGUGGCGAACGGGUGAGUAACACGUGAGUAACCUGCCCUUGACUUCGGGAUAACUCCGGGAAACCGGGGCUAAUACCGGAUAUGAGCCGCCUUCGCAUGGGGGUGGUUGGAAAGUUUUUCGGUCAGGGAUGGGCUCGCGGCCUAUCAGCUUGUUGGUGGGGUGAUGGCCUACCAAGGCGACGACGGGUAGCCGGCCUGAGAGGGCGACCGGCCACACUGGGACUGAGACACGGCCCAGACUCCUACGGGAGGCAGCAGUGGGGAAUAUUGCACAAUGGGCGAAAGCCUGAUGCAGCGACGCCGCGUGAGGGAUGAAGGCCUUCGGGUUGUAAACCUCUUUCAGCAGGGAAGAAGCGCAAGUGACGGUACCUGCAGAAGAAGCGCCGGCUAACUACGUGCCAGCAGCCGCGGUAAUACGUAGGGCGCAAGCGUUGUCCGGAAUUAUUGGGCGUAAAGAGCUCGUAGGCGGUUUGCCGCGUCUGGUGUGAAAACUCGAGGCUCAACCUCGAGCUUGCAUCGGGUACGGGCAGACUAGAGUGCGGUAGGGGAGACUGGAAUUCCUGGUGUAGCGGUGGAAUGCGCAGAUAUCAGGAGGAACACCGAUGGCGAAGGCAGGUCUCUGGGCCGCAACUGACGCUGAGGAGCGAAAGCAUGGGGAGCGAACAGGAUUAGAUACCCUGGUAGUCCAUGCCGUAAACGUUGGGCACUAGGUGUGGGGCUCAUUCCACGAGUUCCGUGCCGCAGCAAACGCAUUAAGUGCCCCGCCUGGGGAGUACGGCCGCAAGGCUAAAACUCAAAGGAAUUGACGGGGGCCCGCACAAGCGGCGGAGCAUGCGGAUUAAUUCGAUGCAACGCGAAGAACCUUACCAAGGCUUGACAUGCACG